AUGAACGCUGGCGGCGUGCCUAAUACAUGCAAGUCGAGCGAACAGACGAGGAGCUUGCUCCUCUGACGUUAGCGGCGGACGGGUGAGUAACACGUGGAUAACCUACCUAUAAGACUGGGAUAACUUCGGGAAACCGGAGCUAAUACCGGAUAAUAUAUUGAACCGCAUGGUUCAAUAGUGAAAGACGGUUUUGCUGUCACUUAUAGAUGGAUCCGCGCCGCAUUAGCUAGUUGGUAAGGUAACGGCUUACCAAGGCAACGAUGCGUAGCCGACCUGAGAGGGUGAUCGGCCACACUGGAACUGAGACACGGUCCAGACUCCUACGGGAGGCAGCAGUGGGGAAUCUUCCGCAAUGGGCGAAAGCCUGACGGAGCAACGCCGCGUGAGUGAUGAAGGUCUUCAGAUCGUAAAACUCUGUUAUUAGGGAAGAACAAAUGUGUAAGUAACUAUGCACGUCUUGACGGUACCUAAUCAGAAAGCCACGGCUAACUACGUG
rnacentral:rRNA from 1 species